rnacentral:rRNA from 1 species
AACGAACGCUGGCGGCAGGCUUAACACAUGCAAGUCGAACGCCCGUAGCAAUACGGGAGUGGCGGACGGGUGAGUAACGCGUGGGAACGUACCCUGAGGUACGGAAUAACCGAGGGAAACUUCGGCUAAUACCGUAUGAGCCCCGCAAGGGGGAAAGAUUUAUCGCCUUGGGAGCGGCCCGCGUCGGAUUAGCUAGUUGGUGGGGUAACGGCCUACCAAGGCUUCGAUCCGUAGCUGGUCUGAGAGGACGAUCAGCCACACUGGGACUGAGACACGGCCCAGACUCCUACGGGAGGCAGCAGUGGGGAAUCUUGCGCAAUGGGGGCAACCCUGACGCAGCCAUGCCGCGUGAACGAUGAAGGCCUUAGGGUUGUAAAGUUCUUUUAUAUGUGAGCAGUGCUUCUUAUAUUAACAGUAUGGGGAGAGAGAUAUUAGCAUAUGAAUAAGCAACGGCUAACUCCGUG